rnacentral:rRNA from 1 species
CGUAGGUGGCAAGCGUUGUCCGGAAUUAUUGGGCGUAAAGCGCGCGCAGGCGGUUCCUUAAGUCUGAUGUGAAAGCCCCCGGCUCAACCGGGGAAGGUCAUUGGAAACUGGGGAACUUGAGUGCAGAAGAGAAGAGCGGAAUUCCACGUGUAGCGGUGAAAUGCGUAGAGAUGUGGAGGAACACCAGUGGCGAAGGCGGCUCUUUGGUCUGUAACUGACGCUGAGGCGCGAAAGCGUGGGGAGCAAACAGGAUUAGAUACCCUGGUAGUCCACGCCGUAAACGAUGAGUGCUAAGUGUUAGAGGGUUUCCGCCCCUUAGUGCUGCAGCUAACGCAUUAAGCACUCCGCCUGGGGGAGUACGGCCGCAAGGCUG